rnacentral:piRNA from 1 species
GAGGAAAUUUUGAAAGUAGAACAA